UUUUCUUUAUAACAUUGGAGACGCUGAGCACAUUAGUGAAGCCACUGCAUGUAGAAAAAAAUCGACCUCAAGCGCUUUCCUUGACACAAACUCCUUAAAGCCAUUAAAGAGGAGUUUCACAGGAUUGCAGGAGAGAUUGACAGCUUUCUGCUGGAGAUAGGGGUUAAUGGCAGCCCACGCUACUGACCCCUCACCCAGAACCUGAAGCAGAACCCCAGCAGCGCUUUAAUGUGGCCCUGCAGAAUAAGAGCCCAGGGGGAAAUGACCAUAGGCCUGUUGAAAGCACAUCUUCAGUGUCUACGUCACCUCAGGGAAACACUUGAGAGGCCUGUGACAUUAAUGUGACAUGUGUUGUUCUCCACAUUAUUGCAAUUAUUAGAGGGGAGCAACACCCUGCCCUACAAAUACAAGACCCCGAGGAGACUCCUUCCAUUACAGUAAUCUGCAGAGUGGAUGGACAGAUUUGCUUUAAUGUCUUAAUCAACCAUCCCCACCACCACCAAUAAAAGAAACUGAAUAGAUGUAAAUCAUAAUUUAUUUGUUUUUUUUCAUUUCCUACAAAUACAAAGGCAAAUGUUAGAUUUUAUGAUUCUUCCAAUAAUUCAUACAAUUCACCUUUAACUAUACACUCAUCUCCAGCUUGUGUUUGGGAAUUUCAAUUUCUAGAUCUGGCUUCUCAAUCUUGUGAUACAAGUAUAACAUUUCCUUGAGAUUUAGUUUAUACAACUCAAUAACCGGUAACUUAAAAUACAGAAGAUUUAGAGUUACAUGACAUCUUGACAUGACAUGUUCCUCAUUACUCUUACAGAAUUGAACUCUGGCAUUUACUGAACAUCACUGAACCGUGUGCAUCUGUGCAGCAAAUGUGACUGACCUCCUCCUGCGAGGUGCAGGUCCUCCACCAGUUGUUCUAGCCUCUGCCUUCUUUCUGUUGGCUGAGUAGAAGUCAAAUGUUUAACUGUG